AGAUCAUUUUAACAUUGGCUGGAAUCAAAAUGUUAAAUUAGUUCUUAUUACUUUAAUAACUGAUAUUUCCUCUAUCUCAGGACUAUCUAUUAAACUGAUUUUUGGAUUAGGGAGAUGGAAUAGCAGCUUCCUCCAUCCAUUGCACACAUCACCCUGUUAUUGUGGCACUGAACCCCCAGGAGCGGUGGACCUCCC
ensembl:snRNA U2 U2 spliceosomal RNA